GUUGCCGUGGCCAAGUGGUUAAGGCGAUAGUCAGACUUGAAAUCUUUUGGGGUUUUCCCGCGCACGUUCGAAUCCUGCUGACAGCG
rnacentral:tRNA from 1 species